GAUAAAUAAGUCGGUCAUACUCAUAUAAUAUGUUCCAGAAUCGUGUUCUUUCUCACACGAGCUUCGCAAUCCAAAAUCCAGAGCCUUAACAAUUACACAAAACCCCUUUGCCAUUGUCACACCAAAUCUUUAUACGAUAAUUGUUGUUGAAGAUGGCGGGUAGAGAAGUUCGAGAAUACACCAAUCUUAGCGACCCCAAAGAUAAGAAAUGGGGCAAAGGGAAGGAUAAGAUUGACGAUGAAGACAUUACUUUCCAACGAAUGGUUGCAAAGGGAUUUUGGCUUCCUGUAUUGGGUGGUUGAUGCAUGCAGAUGCAAGAGGUUGCUGGUGAGCGUGGUGGUUACCUUCAUGGGCGAGGCGCCUUGGACAGUGAUGAUUUGCUCUAUCUAAAGGAACAAAUGGAAGCCGAGGAGGAUGCAGAACGUCUCCUGCGUCGCACUGAAAAACGGGCAUUCGCCGCAUUUAAGAUAUCCUUUUUUAUUUCAACCCUUUUGGAUUUAAAUGGAUUCUUAUGUUCAUGGACUAUUUGUAUCUUAGUAUACCCUCUCAUGUAAAGUUCUUAAAUUUCUUAUCAAUAUCAUAUAUCAUAUCAUAUAAUUUUUUUAAUGGUGCUGGAAGAAUGUGCUUUUGAGUUCUAGUUAUGACGGAGUAGGGUCCCUUAUAUCAUGAAUGUUCUGUGUAUUGUUUCCUUGACCGGUAGUUACAGAGCUGCAAGCUUAGCAGAUUCUUCACCGGCGUCAGUUCCAUUGGCAUUUCGUGUCGAGCCAAAGCCAAAGAGUGGGAUCAGGCAGCAAGAUCUGUUGAAGAAAGUUGUGGAGAUUAAACCUAAGCGCCCAAGGACUGAUGGCAAUCAGUCCCCAGCUUUGAGUAACGUGUCUGUUACAAAUCGUAAGCCUGAGCAUCAUAAUGAGAACGAGCGGCCUUCUUCAGGACUGAAGAAAGUAGAUGAGCAAUCUUUGUCUGGGUUGCAGAAAGGAGAGGAACGUCCGUCAUCGGCCUCAUGCAAAGCAGAAGAAAAGCCUAAGAAUGCUAACACUGCUGGUGGGGGAUUACUGGGCUUGGCAUACGCUAGUUCUGACGACGAUGACGACGAGUGAUACUUUUGAUGGAAAACCACGUUGUUCAGUCCAAGUUAUGUAGUUUUAGUACAGAAAGUUUUAUUUCUUAUAGAACAUUUUGUCAUUAUAUUGCGUAGUGAAGAUGGCAUGAAUUACUAUGAAGGCUGAAAGGGAACAAGAUGAAGUGCUACUAUUUAAGUGUACAAUUAGACGAAAAGUACAAUUUUGAAUGAAUCUUUAAACUUUAAUGUGCUAGUUGUGUUUCUUGCCAUACAAUUUUGUAAGCAUUUGGUAAAGUGCAAUCACGGCACACUG